rnacentral:rRNA from 1 species
CUGCGCGNCUACCAUGCAGUCGAACGGGUUUUAUACCUUCGGGUAUAAAGCUAGUGGCGGACGGGUGAGUAACGCGUGAGCAACCUGCCUCGGACAGGGGAACAACCAUGAGAAAUCAUGGCUAAUACCUCAUAAGCUUACGGUAUCGCAUGGUACAGUAAGAAAAGAUUUAUCGGUUCGAGAGGGGCUCGCGUCUGAUUAGCUAGUUGGAGUGGUAACGGCACACCAAGGCAACGAUCAGUAGCCGACCUGAGAGGGUGAUCGGCCACAUUGGGACUGAGACACGGCCCAAACUCCUACGGGAGGCAGCAGUGGGGAAUAUUGCGCAAUGGGCAAAAGCCUGACGCAGCAACGCCGCGUGAAGGAUGAAGGUUUUCGGAUUGUAAACUUCGAUCUACAGGGAAGAAAAAAAUGACGGUACCUGAGGAGAAGCCCCGGCUAACUACGUGCCAGCAGCCGCGGUAAUACGUAGGGGGCAAGCGUUAUCCGGAAUUACUGGGUGUAAAGGGUGAGUAGGCGGCAUCGUAAGUCAUAUGUGAAAGCCCGGAGCUUAACUCCGGGACUGCAUAAGAAACUACGGAGCUAGAGUACAGGAGAGGUAAGCGGAAUUCCUAGUGUAGCGGUGAAAUGCGUAGAUAUUAGGAAGAACACCAGUGGCGAAGGCGGCUUACUGGACUGAAACUGACGCUGAGUCACGAAAGCGUGGGGAGCGAACAGGAUUAGAUACCCUGGUAGUCCACGCCGUAAACGAUGAGUGCUAGGUGUCGGGUAGAGAUAUUCGGUGCCGGAGCAAACGCAAUAAGCACUCCACCUGGGGAGUACGGUCGCAAGAUUGAAACUCAAAGGAAUUGACGGGGGCCCGCACAAGCGGUGGAGCAUGUGGUUUUAAUUCGAAGCAACNCGAAGAACCUUACCAAGGCUUGACAUCCCGCUGACCGGCAUANANAUAUGCCAUCCCNUUCNGGGCCAGCGGAAAACAGGUGGGUGCAUGGUUGUCNUCANCUCNUGUCCUGGAAAUGUUGGGUUAAGUCCCNCCACCGAGGNCCCACCCUUUUNUUUAGUUACCCNGUGGGUNAAGCCNGGCCCCCUAAANAAACUGCCCUGGAAUAACCCGNAGGAAGGGGGGGGNAUGACC